GGAUGUGAGAGUGAUCUGGCUGCAACACCUGGCACUGAUCGCAGAGGUUGAUUUGGCCGAUCUGGCUGGCUAGGCAGGUGUCCCCUUCCUCCCUCACGGCUCCACGGGCAUCCCUCUGAAAGCCGUGCCCCCAGUCAAAGAGAACGACCCAUCCCCAGUAGAGGACGACCCAUCCCCAGUAGAGGGGGACCCAUCCCCAGUAGAGGAGGACCCAUCUUUGGUCAAGGGUAUAUGAGUAGCUGUGUUCCCCUGCUAGAGCCUCCAGGCAAGCUCUCAAGAACCAGGUGGUGGAUUUCCUUUAAAGUAAUUUAACUAAUUUGUAAUUCAGCAAGUCAUU
rnacentral:snRNA from 1 species